UUGGUGCCAAUCUAGCUAAAAAUUUAUACGAGGUUUAUUUUUCCCUGCUUUUCUUCUGCAACAAGGGUAAAUGUUCUUCUUUCUCACAACUUUGUGCAGCAAGGGGUUUCACUCAGAAGAGUUGUACCAUAAUUGUAGGAUAACUACGGCAAGUUGCAACAAACGUUUGGAUGCAGUAAACUGAAACAACACUUUUCUUAGGCGGCGAAUUUGGUUCUCUCUCGCUACUGUUAGGACUCUUGUACCAACUGAUAUUAGGGAACAACAAAUUUUAAUAUUGAUGGACUCUGGACAAACAAACAAGCGUCCCUGCUCGGAAAAGAAAUGUCCUGAUAGGAAUGUUAGACGACGCGAACAGUAUAAACUUAAGAUGGCGAAUGAAAAGAGUGCACUAUCAUUACAGGAAGUACUCAAAAAUCAGGCGUUGCAACGUAAUCGCUUUGAAAGAGAGACUUCUAUUAUCUCUACUGAUCUAACAACAACAUCAGCACAUUUAUAGUGUACUUCUAAUACAAAGGGCUCCUACUAUACUUCCAAAACAGGUUAGUAUACUAAUUUUAUAUCACAAUCUAUACAGUACGCAAUUGUUUCAUUGUUUAGAACAAAUAUAAUUUUUUUAUGUGUAUGAAUAUCUACCAUAAAUUUAACACUAUAGACAUCUGUUGCGCUUACGCCAACUAUGCAGAGAGUAAGGUUACAAUGCUUCCAUCAUUUCCUCCUUUUGACAAGGGAAAUCCUCUUUGCACUUAUGAGAAAGGCAAGUUGCCUAAAGUUACCAUAAUUUUACACUAAUAUAUAAGAUAUUAUGUUGACUAAAAAACUACUUAUCUGGUAGGUUCAACGUCGGUUGUACCUAAUGAACAAAAUGAUACAACCGAGAUAAUGAUAACUAAAGGUUUAUAUUUGUGUCAUCUUUAGGCAAUAUCAUUUUGUGCUUACUAUUUUACUCCUUACAACCUCUACAACAUGCAGGUCGCGCUCGAAAUAACAAAAUUGCUAUGAAUAUUGAAUUACGUUCAGACUAUAUGCCAUUAAAAAGGGUUCCAAAUUGUAAAUUUUGCUUUGCGAAAAGAUUUGAAUAUGAAUCUCCUGGAUUUUUGUUGUGGCACUGGUACAGUUAAGAUAAUUUCACAUCGAAUGCCCACUAAGAUACAUGAUCUAUAUUUUGAGAAUAGUUAAAAAUCCUAACACUUUCGAACAUACAUUAGAACAUAUAAUAAUACAUUUGCAUUUACAUCACUUGGUAUAAACUAUGAUACAGACUUAGCGCGAAGGAAUCAUGGUAUCUAUACUUUUAGAGUUCAAUGACGAAUGUAUCACCUAAUAGAUGAUUUGUAUCCCAGAGAAAAAAAACCAAAAAAUCUAUAGUUGUACUUUUAAGACGACAACAAUGAGUUAGCAAAUAGAAUGGCAUGCUCUAAUAAAGUUAAUGAAUCUAUAGUGAGGGAACUAAUGGAUAUGUUGACAGUUAACCCGUACUCCUUUUUUAUCCGAUCUUUGAUAGAUAUUCCUGACCUACAAAACUUUCAUAUUGGACUGAAAUGUGAUCCUGGCUUAGAUCAACGAAUAUUUAAUUUGCCAACUUCCUCAGAAAUUGUUGCAUAUGAGUUGAGGACAAUGACAAUAGUAUAAACCAUGCACCACAUAUUCAAAUUUACACUCACACCAAUAGCACACAAAUAGUGAACUAUUAUUAUGGAUAUUUUGACGCCUUGCAGUAUCCUUUGUUGUUUUCAUAUGGACAGAAUGGGUGGCAUUGUGGUAUUAAGAAAAUUCCUAAACAAAAAAAUAUUCAUGGAAGUUAUGAAUGUCAACAGUUGUCGAGCAUACAAAAUCUUUGCUCUCUUGAUUCAUAUCUUCAAAUGGAAGCUCAAACUUUAGAAAAAGGAAAGAAAAAAAGAGAUGCAGUUUUUGCACGUGAAUAUUACUGUUAUAAACUUCAAAUAAGAAAUGAUGACGAGGAUGAGUUGCUACAUACUGGUAGGCUAUUUCAGCAAUAUUCAGUUGACGAAUAUAUAAAAAUUGAAACCCAAAGACUUGAUUUUGCUUCGUUCAAUCAAGAUUUAUGUAUAGUGGAUAUAUUGCAAGGACUUCUAGAUAUUUUAAGACUUGGAGAACGAGAUUCUUCUAACAUUGGUAAGCAAAAAUUUCCUUUCAGCUUCUUUUAUAGGUGGACCUAGAGAUAUGCGACAACGAUAUAUGGAUGCUAUUGCAUUAGUACAACGUUUCGGCAAACCAGAUUUGUUUAUAACUAUGACCUGUAAUCCGACUUGGCCGGAAAUAAAAGAACAUUUGUGGACAAUUGAUGAAGCACAAAAUAGACCUGAUUUAAUUAGUCGAGUAUUCAGAGCUAAAGUUGAAGAACUGAAAACAGAUAUAAGCAAGAGAAAUAUCUUUGGAAAAGUUGCUGCUUAUAUGUAUACUGUUGAAUUCCAAAAACGAGGUUUACCAUAUGCUCAUUUCCUUAUAAUAUUAGCUAACGAAUAUAAGUUAUUGACAUCAGAGGCUUAUGAUGAAAUUAUUAGUGCUGAAUUACCAGAUGCUAAUUUGGAUAAAAAAAUUACGUUUGAUUGUUCUCAAACAUAUGAUGCACGGUUCAUGCGGUAAUCUGAAUCCGACAAAUUCGUAUAUGAAAAAAAAUGGGCUUUGUAAGUUUAAUUAUCCAAAAAAAUUUGCUGAACAAACAUCAAAAGGAAGUGAUUCUUAUCCCAUCUAUAAAAGACGAAACACAUGAGAAGUUGUGAAAGUACGAGAGCUGUAAAUAGAUAACUCUUGGGUUGUUCCAUACAAUCCUUUUUUACUUGGUAAAUUCAACUGUCAUAUGGACGUUGAGGUUUGCUCUAACAUAAAGGUUGUUAAAUAUCUUUACAAAUAUAUUUAUAAAGGACAUGACAAAAUUGCAUUUUACGUACAUGAUAAUGAUACAAACAAAGAAAUAGAUGAAAUAAAGGAGUAUCAAUCUGCUAGAUGGGUAUCACCACCUAAAGCUGAUUGGCGUUUAUUUAGUUUCUCUAUUAGUGAGAUGUAUCCAAGCGUUUAUCAUCUUCAAUUACAUCUUAAAGGGCAACAACUUGUUUCUUUUAAAGGCAAGACAAGUAUUAACUCAAUCAUUAAUAAUCUAAUGAUUAAGAAAACAAUGUUGACAGAAUUUUUUCAGAUGAACAGAACUAACAAAGAUGCCGUAAAACUUAACUUAUUAUACAAAGAAUUUCCGAAACACUUUGUAUGGUCAACAACAGACAAAACAUGGACACUGCGACAACAACGUUGCGCUGUUGGUCGUAUCGUAACAUGUCACCCAACUGAAGGAGAAUGAUAUUAUCUCAGACUACUGUUGCUAAAUGUGAGAGGACUGAAAUCAUAUGCAAAUCUUCGAACUAUAAAUGGGGAACGUUAUAAUACUUUUAGAGAAUUCGUAGAAAAAAGGGGACUGUUACACUGUGAUAACAGUUUAAUUGCUUGCAUGUCAGGGGCAGCAAGCUACUAAAAGCCAUAUAGUUUAAGGCGUUUAUUUUCUACAUUAUUAGUGUGUUGUAAUCCAGCUAAUCCAAAAGAAAUAUGGAAACAAUUUGAAGAGCAAUGUCAGAAGAUUACAAAGUGUUACCUAAUGUUGAAAAAAAAAGAUAUCCAAUAUCAAGUUUUAAAUCAGAUCAAUGAUAUUUUACACUCUAUGGGUCAUAAUGUAAAUGAAUAUGAGCUUAUCCCAGAAAUCGUUCAACUAUCUAUACUGGAAAAAGAAGCGAAGGAGAUAUUCUUUGAAAGAACCAUCAGGGUUGGUGAAGAAGAUAUACUGUUACACAAAAAACUGAACACAAAACAAUUGAAAGCAUACAAUGUGAUUAUUGACCAAGUAUUUUCCAAGAAACCAGGAGCUUUCUUUAUCGAUGAUCCAGGAGGGACUGGAAAAACUUUCUUAUAUCAUGCUUUAUUAGCGACUAUUCAUAGUAAAGGGUACAUAGCUCUAGCAACUGCUACUUCUAGCAUUGCUGCUUCAAUUCUUCCAGGUGGGCGAACUGCACAUUCACGUUUAAAAAUACAUAUAGACAUUGAUGAAAAUUUCAGCUGUAACAUUAGCAAACAAAGCUCAACUGCAAGUCUGAUUCGUGAUGCAAAAUUAAUUGUAUGGGAUGAAGUAUCUAUGGCUAAAAAAAGAAUGCUUGAUAUUUUUGACUUGCUCUUAAAAGAUCUUAUGGAUACAAAUAUUCUAUUUGGGGGAAAGUUGUUAUUUUUGGAGGUGACUUUAGACAAACUCUUCCAGUUGUUCGAAACAGGAAUAAAGAAGAUUUUAUUAGUGAAAGUUUACUAUAUUCUACCAUUUGGGACGAACUUGAAAAAUUGCAAUUAUCUGAAAAUAUGAGGGCAAAAACAGAUCAUGUUUUUUGUGAUUACUUGAUAAGAAUUGGAAAUGGACAAGAGAGGAUAAACUUUAAUAACAAAAUUGAACUUCCAGAUUCUAUGAUUAUUUCUUUUACAACUGAAGAAGAAUCUCUAAACCAUUUAUUCGCUAUGACAUUCUCAAAUUUACACACAUCCUCCUCUAAUUCUUUUUUUGCAGAUUCUCGCGUUGUUCUAACGACAAAGAAUGAUUUUGUAAAUGAAAUCAAUGAUAUUCUUAUAGCAAAAUUUCCAGAAAAAGCUACUAUAUUUAUUGGUAUUGACGAAACCAUUGAGCCUAAUAAUCAAAGUCAAUUUGAAGACCUAUUACACACUUUGAAUCCUGCUGGUUUACCUCCUUACAAAUUAACUUUGAAAGAGAACUUCCCCAUUAUAUUGUUGUGCAAUUUGAAUCCGUAUGAAGGUUUAUGCAAUGGUACACGGUUGAUAUGUUGCGAUAUUAAGACACAUGUUAUCAGUGCUAAGAUCGCGACAGGCGAUUUUAAAAAUAAGCACGUAUUUAUCCCAAGAAUACCAUUAUUAUCUUCACAAGACGAAAGAUUACCAGUUCAAUUUAAAAGAACACAGUUCCCAGUAAGAUUAUGCUAUGCUAUGACUAUAAAUAAGGCGCAAGGUCAGACUCUGGAUUUCGUCGGAAUAUAUUUGUGAGAACCUAUUUUUUCACACGGUCAACUUUAUGUUGCCUUAUCGAGAGCAAAAAGUUCAAAUUGCGUCAAAGUGCUGAUCCGACCGUCCACGCUAGCCAACCGUGAUGACCAUUCUACAUAUAAUAUCGUUUAUGACGAAAUUAUCCAAAGAGCAUCCUUGCGAUGAGAUUAAGAGUGGGCUUCUACUUACCUCGAGCUCCGAAAGAAGGAAAUAUCAGUUAUUUUUUGACAAGGACAUGCUACUUUGUUCAGUGAUUAUGGAUUCAACCUAUUUUGAUUCUAAUAUUUUCUAUUUCUUCAAGUUGAUCUUGGUUCUACAAUUAAGGUAUUGUAUCAAGAGUUCGACUUAUUUAUACUGGAUGUAAGCUAUAUACUUAAUUCUCCAGUAGCUGGUCUAUGUCUAGAACCAAUGCAUUAGUAAUAAUAAGAUGAUGUCACUGUGAGAUGGAAGAGAUGGAAGAAUAUGUAUGGUAUUAUCCAAUAGCACCGUCUCUGAUUUACCUUUUCAUUGUAGCUUCUUUUGGAUAUGCACAUAUAAACAUAGAGGGAAAUUCGAAAGGCUGAGCAAGAUGAUAUUUGUUGUCAUUGUUUUGUAAACCAGCUUAUGGCUGUUUUGAAUUCUAAAAUAUUUGAUUGCUCAUUGUGAUCAUCGCAAAUAUACAUUUCUAUAAGUUGUUGUGCUUCUGCUAAAAAUGAUAUUGCAUUUCUUGGUGUAUAUGUACUAUAGAAAAGACAUAUUAUAUGGUAUUGAAACAAAAAAAUCCUAAAUAGAGUGGAAUGGAUAUAGAGCAUUCAUAUCAUUAACCCUCAUUAGUUUGGUAUUGAGUCAUCUUUGAGUGACUGACUAAUUAUCUUUUCUAGAAUGUAAAAAUAGCUUGGUGCUUUGUAGUGCUUCAAAGAAUGUACUUUAUCCAAUUUCAGAUGUUGAGUUGUCAAAUAAUAGACAAGAGAAUUCUUUUGUCUUGCCUCCCUUUUUUCUUUAGGUUUCUUGGUGCUUUUGCCAUGCUCAGUCUGUCAUUCGGCCACAACUUACAACUUGCAUCUAGUUUGUUAUGGAUGAUAGGUGGUAGUGUUGCGCAGGCAAUAACAGAUGUUACUAUUGAUGCCUGUGUCACAGAGAACAGUAUAAGCCAUCUUUCUCUUGCCAGUGACAUGCAAAGCUUGUGUGGAGUGAGUUCUUCAAUCGGGCAACUGAUUUGGUACACUAUCAGUAGAUUUUUGGUUCAUUUAAUUCCAUCUAAGGUUUAGUAUCGCUGGCUUAAUUCAAUCAUUAUCAAUGGAAUAUUGUGCUAGAGUUUCGAUGUGUCAGCUUAGUAUCAUUAAAUUUAUAGUUGAGGGUAUUGUUGACUUUAUACUUAUAUGUGCCUUCCAGUGGCAAUAGAACAACCACGUCUAUUUGGUUUUUAUCUGGUUCUAGGAUUAUUCUUCAUUUUCCUUUCUCUUUAGCUUCUUCAUCUCUCUUUCACCAUCUGGGAAGACGCUUCAGCAAUUGGGUUUUAGAUCAGAUCUUCUUCUAUUUGAUUCCUGAUUAUUUUUCUACUUUUAAGGGAGUACCAUAUGGAAAGAGGUUAAGAGAUGCACGAGAAGAUUCUAGGUGGUAUCUGCUUAUGCCUUUUAUAUUACUAGAAGCUCCAUUGUCAGGAUUCGAAGGUGAACAUGAAGUUUGUGGAGGGUUUUGAAAGGAGAGUAAUACUAAUGAUAAGGGGAGGGGAUGAUGUUAUCAGUAUGAUGUUAAGAUUUUUUCCCCACUCAGUUGAAAUGAUCUGUAGGGACAAUAGCUCCCCUGAUGAAAUUUACAGCUAAAUCUGCAGUCAAGAGUUUCCGCGAUGCGAAUAGUGUCAAAUGAUAGUUUAGUAGUGGACAGUUCAGCACUAGAGCCAUCUUAUCUCAUAUUGCCAUUGUCGAAGAAUCUGAGGACACUUCACCUUCAACUGAAAUUAUAGUGAGCGAGGAUUGUUUGGAGAAUGCUGGUCACCUUCUAACUAUUGAAGUUGACAAAAUUCAAUCUUUGUCACAUGCAGAACUAUCACAAGGUUGCAUAUGCCUAAACAGUGAAGGUGUUAAUUAUGCGCUCAGUUAUAUGUAGACCCAUUCAGGAAGAUAUAUUUGUCAAUGAUAAAAAGCUUUUUCCCGACUACGUGAUUGUAAUUACAUAUAUAUUAAGAACUGUUAUUUUUUACUAUACUUACAACUGCAA